rnacentral:rRNA from 1 species
AGUGAACGCUGGCGGCGUGCUUUACACAUGCAAGUCGAACGAGAACGGAUUAUAGCUUGCUAUAAUUGUCAGCUAAGUGGCGCACGGGUGAGUAAUGUAUAGGUAAUAUGCCUCUUACUAAGGGAUAACAAAUGGAAACGUUUGCUAUUACCUUAUACUCCUUAUUAACAGAAGUUAAUAAGGGAAAGAUUUAUUGGUAAGAGAUUAGCCUGUAUUGUAUCAGUUAGUUGGUGGGGUAAUGGCUUACCAAGACUAUGACACAUAACUGGUUUGCUCUCCUGCUCAGUCACACUGGAACUGAGACGCUCUCCCCCCUCCUACGGGAGGCAGCAGUGGUUCCUCUUCCCCAAUGGACGAAAGUCUGAUGCAGCAACGCCUCCUUUCUUCUUCCCCAUUUCGUUGCGUCCCCUCCUUUUCUCUGAGAAGAUAAUGACGGUAUUCUCUGCCUCCGCACCGGCUAACUCCGUGCCAGCAGCCGCGGUAA